UGGGGAAUUUUGGACAAUGGGCGAAAGCCUGAUCCAGCAAUGCCGCGUGUGUGAAGAAGGCCUUCGGGUUGUAAAGCACUUUUGUCCGGAAAGAAAUGGCUCUGGUUAAUACCUGGGGUCGAUGACGGUACCGGAAGAAUAAGGACCGGCUAACUACGUGCCAGCAGCCGCGGUAAUACGUAGGGUCCAAGCGUUAAUCGGAAUUACUGGGCGUAAAGCGUGCGCAGGCGGUUGUGCAAGACCGAUGUGAAAUCCCCGAGCUUAACUUGGGAAGUGCAUUGGUGACUGCACGGCUAGAGUGUGUCAGAGGGGGGUAGAAUUCCACGUGUAGCAGUGAAAUGCGUAGAGAUGUGGAGGAAUACCGAUGGCGAAGGCAGCCCCCUAGGAUAACACUGACGCUCAUGCACGAAAGCGUGGGGAGCAAACAGG
rnacentral:rRNA from 1 species